GAGGUAUUUAUCGAUACUUUUACGGAAUGAAAAAUAAAAGCAAGCCCACGACCUCGUCCGGUCUCAAAAAUCAAAUAACCUUAACGAGAUUCAUUCGAAUCUCUAUCGAAGGUUAAUUCGAUAAGAACAGAAACUAAACUUUGAUCUUAGUAGUUAGCCAAAAGGCCGAGAAGCGAU